GGAUGUCAUCGGAGCCGGCUUAACGCAACGGUGGUGGUGGUGGUUGGGUGAUGGUAAGAACGUGGCCAAGGGCGUGGAUCCUACUUUUAUUUUUCUACUUUGUUGUGUCAGAUAAGAUGAAUAAGGCACCAACCAAAGGAAGAAGAAAAGGGAGAAAUUUGGACUUUGCCAUUGUGAACAAAGGGUUUCAUGAAUUUGCCAUUGUUGAGGUGGGUUUCAUAAAGGUUCUACUUAUAUGAUUGAUAGCUUGUUUUUCCUACCAUCUUCCUUGGAGAUGGAGCUCCAUUAAGGAAAUAGGGGGAGGGUUGUCUAUGUAUUCGAAUAUUACACAACAAUGUACAAUAGCGAAUUGACUGUUAUUUAAUGGAAAAUACAUUGGAGGUGGGGCCAUGGCCCCCUUUGGCCAUCAAAAAGCUUGACCCCUAAUUUUUUUAUUUGAUUUUCCAUUUUAUCACGUCCAGUGAAAAGCACCCAAAUUCUGACGGGCCUAGCAAACGAAAAAGGAAACAAAAAAGAAUGAAAGUAGCUUUCGUCUAAGGAUGAUACACGUAUCUUUUACGGUGGUUAAUUGGC
rnacentral:lncRNA from 1 species